AUUGAACGCUGGCGGCAUGCUUUACACAUGCAAGUCGAACGGUAACAGGCCGCAAGGUGCUGACGAGUGGCGAACGGGUGAGUAAUGCAUCGGAACGUGCCCAGUCGUGGGGGAUAACGCAGCGAAAGCUGCGCUAAUACCGCAUACGCUCUAUGGAUGAAAGCGGGGGAACGUAAGGCCUCGCGCGAUUGGAGCGGCCGAUGUCAGAUUAGGUAGUUGGUGGGGUAAAGGCUCACCAAGCCAACGAUCUGUAGCUGGUCUGAGAGGACGACCAGCCACACUGUGACUGAGACACGGCACAGACUCCGACGGGAGGAAGCAGGGGGGAAUUUUGGACAAGGGGCGCAAGCCUGAUCCAGCAAUGCCGCGUGCAGGAAGAAGGCCUUCGGGUUGUAAACGACUUUUGUACGGAACGAAACGGUCCUGGUUAAUACCUGGGGCUAAUGACGGUACCGUAAGAAUAAGCACCGGCUAACUACGUGCCAGCCGCCGCGGUAACAC
rnacentral:rRNA from 1 species